CGUCUGUCAGGAGUUCGAUUAACUCUCUUCACUGGAAGCCAACACGUAGAAAAUUGCCUAACGUCAGUGGCCCUUGUCCCCGCGUCGGAGACGAUGCAGAUUUUCAGCAAGUGAAGACAUUCAAAAGGGACAGUUUGAUCGGGCCUUGAUACGAAUUUUCAUGAAAAAGAACCGAAAACGCGGCUUGGCCCCAGGUACCGCCGGCUUUCCUAAACUCUACAGCGGCAAAGAACCAAAGUGGGGGCAGAACGAGGGACCGAGACGAGGCAUAUUAAAACGGCGUGGGGGCGAGCGAAACGCGAGACCAAAGCAGUUUUACAACACCGGCAGACGCUGCGAUAUUGCUCCGUCGUGCUUUCUGCUUUCUGGGAAAGGAAGAUAUAGUGCGGGCCUGACUACAUUGCACGCAACUAUACAACGUAUAGUAGUACGGCGCAACGCGGCAACGGAAGACAAGGCCGUACCACUCGCGGCGAACUGAGGAUACGAAAACAGUUUCAUACGACCGACGCCAAUGGUCUACGUAUCACCACUAUGAUAGCUCGACAAAGUAAAUAAUAUCGUGGCUAUUCAUUAAUCAAACACGAUGCGGCGGUGGUCGUGAACUUUUACCGGUUCCGUGCGGGUGACGUUCCGCGAUGUGAGACGUACAACAUCAGGUUCUGGACCAAGCACCGCUCAAGCGGAUGAAACAUAGCCCUGUGGACGUUGAUGGAUUCGCGAACCAGCAUCAAAGGAUACUAAAUCUCUAUUAUCUGCUCCUGGCAAAGAUGAUUCCGUUCCGGGACCAUCGUGAAUUCCGCCUGAUCGCCUCCGUUUUCCAAAAUUUUGUAUACACCACCAUAUCUCACAUUAUUGGCAACUUAUUGAAAUGUUCCAAAUUUAUAUCAGCAUCUUAACUUACACUACCGAUCAUAAGUAUUAACACAUUCCGUACAAUCGAAAUAAUAUUAUCCAUUAAUAAUAAAUCCACGAUAAUUAUGUUAUUAUAUAUUUGUUAUUUCCUUUGCAUCGUAUGUGUCUUCUAAUGUAAAAGACUAAAUAAAAUUUAUUAGUGAUACAUCUAUAAAAAAGUAAACAGUAGAGCAAUAUUCAGAACGCUCCUGUUAAAUUUAUAUAUCAAUUUUUACGUUUCGACAGGUUUGAACUACACGGUAAGUGGGACUAUCGGUUAACGCGAAAUUCAAGAAAUACAGGCAAAGGGUGUUAUUAUAAAUCGAUAAACGCAACGCUAUGGUAUAUCCUCGUGCGCUGAUUGGACAUCCUGUACGAGGAUUACUGACACGUUCAUUCAAUUCGUAGUACGUACUACUCGCGCUCAGCCGAUGACUGCAGUCACAGAAUGCGCGUAUAUGGGUGCUGCAAAUCGAACGCGUAGGUGGGG
rnacentral:misc_RNA from 1 species